rnacentral:rRNA from 1 species
AGUGAACGCUGGCGGUAGGCCUAACACAUGCAAGUCGAACGGCAGCACAGUAAGAUCUUGCUCUUACGGGUGGCGAGUGGCGGACGGGUGAGGAAUACAUCGGAAUCUACUUUUUCGUGGGGGAUAACGGAGGGAAACUUACGCUAAUACCGCAUACGACCUACGGCUGAAAUCAAUGGAUCUUCGGACCUUGCGCGUUUGAAUGAGCCGAUGGCGGAUUAGCUAGUUGGCUGGGUAAAGGCCCACCAAGGCAACGAUCCGUAGCUGGUCUGAGAGGAUGAUCAGCCACACUGGAACUGAGACACGGUCCAGACUCCUACGGGAGGCAGCAGUGGGGAAUAUUGGACAAUGGGCGAAAGCCUGACCCAGCAACACCGCGUGGGUGAAGAAGGCCUUCGGGUUGUAAAGCCCUUUUGUUGGGAAAGAAAAGCAGCAGGUGAAUACCCCGCUGUUCUGACGGUACCCAAAGAAUAAGCACCGGCUAACUUCGUG